rnacentral:rRNA from 1 species
UUGUUGGUGAGGUAGUGGCUCACCAAGGCGACGACGGGUAGCCGGCCUGAGAGGGCGACCGGCCACACUGGGACUGAGACGCGGCCCAGACUCCUACGGGAGGCAGCGGUGGGGAAUAUUGCACAAUGGGCGGAAGCCUGAUGCAGCGACGCCGCGUGAGGGAUGACGGCCUUCGGGUUGUAAACCUCUUUCAGCAGGGAAGAAGCGCAAGUGACGGUACCUGCAGAAGAAGCACCGGCUAACUACGUGCCAGCAGCCGCGGUAAUACGUAGGGUGCGAGCGUUGUCCGGAAUUAUUGGGCGUAAAGAGCUUGUAGGUGGUUUGUCGCGUCUGCUGUGAAAAUCCGAGGCUCAACCUCGGACUUGCAGUGGGUACGGGCAGACUAGAGUGUGGUAGGGGAGACUGGAAUUCCUGGUGUAGCGGUGGAAUGCGCAGAUAUCAAGAGGAACACCGAUGGCGAAGGCAGGUCUCUGGGCCAUUACUGACACUGAGAAGCGAA